AGAACGAACGCUGGCGGCAUGCCUAAUACAUGCAAGUCGAACGAACUCUUCGGAGCUAGUGGCGCACGGGUGCGUAACGCGUGGGAAUCCGCCCCUUGGUUCGGAAUAACAGUUGGAAACGACUGCUAAUACCGGAUGAUGACGAAAGUCCAAAGAUUUAUCGCCAAGGGAUGAGCCCGCGUAGGAUUAGCUAGUUGGUGAGGUAAAGGCUCACCAAGGCAACGAUCCUUAGCUGGUCUGAGAGGAUGAUCAGCCACACUGGGACUGAGACACGGCCCAGACCUCCUACGGGGAGCAGCAGGUAGGGAAUA
rnacentral:rRNA from 1 species